rnacentral:RNase_P_RNA from 1 species
UGAGUAAACCAGACGGCAGCGCGUUUUUUGACGUGAGGAAAGUCCGGGCUUCACAGGGCAAGGGUAGCUGAUAACGUCAGCCGAGGGCGACCUUAGGGAAAGUGCAACAGAAAAUUACCGCCUGCUUGCAGGUAAGGAUGAAAAGGCGAGGUAAGAGCUCACCAGCAUGGUGGAGACAUCAUGGCUGUGUAAACCCUACCCGAAGCAACACCCGACAGUAAAGCAUAUGCGCCCUGCAGCUUUCAGGAGGUGGCUAGAGCUACAAGGCAACUUGUAGUCGAGAUAGAUUGUCGUCUAAUACAGAACCCGGCUUACGGUUUGCUCAUUUU